rnacentral:lncRNA from 1 species
AUGAGACUGCAGGAGCCAGUAGCUGAUGAUUCAUAUGCUCCCUGUCACUCAGUACGGGAAAUAUAUUGCAACAGUCCUUCAGCAUCACCCGGCCCUAAUCCACACAGACAUCCUUCAGCCAGGCAAGCUUUAGAAAUAAGGCAGCAGCAGGAGCAAGGGAGGAAUCCAGGGUAUUCCACAGUGAGCCUCAACCACCUAAGGGUUGCUAGGAAUAUAUUCCAGAAGUCAUGCAGCAAUUCGGCAGCAGCACUGGUCUGUGAGCUCACUUGUCUCCCUGGCUUCCACCACUCCUGUCACUCCAUCCUUCCAGUGCAGCCAUCCAGAUAGGAAAUUUUGAAAGCCAUACAAAGAAGAAAAUCUAAAAGCAGGUUUGUAGCCUGGACCAGCUGAUCGCAAAGACCAGGCUCUUGCACAUGAUUUAUGGGGGAUUUAUCCCUUCCAAAGAAGAAGAGAUACACUGCAGCAAGAGCUCCCCGUGCAAAACAUUUCAGGACUUCUGCAUUGGACAACCAGAGCAGAACAUCCGAAAAUGGAAAUAAAAGCAACAGAUUUGAGAUCA